GACGAACGCUGGCGGCGUGCUUAACACAUGCAAGUCGAACGGAAAGGCCCUGCUUUUGUGGGGUGCUCGAGUGGCGAACGGGUGAGUAACACGUAAGUAACCUGCCCUUGACUUUGGGAUAACUUCAGGAAACGGGGGCUAAUACCGGAUAGGAGCUCCUGCUGCAUGGUGGGCGUUGGAAAGUUUCGGCGGUUGCGGAUGGACUCGCGGCUAAUCAGCUUGUUGGUGGGGUAGUGGCUUACCAAGGCUUUGACGGGUAGCCGGCCUGGGAGGGUGACCGGGCACAUUGGGCCUGAGGUAGGGCCCAGACGGCAACGGGGGGCAGCAGUGGGGAACAUGGCACAAUGGGCGGAAGCCGGAUGCAGCGACGCCGCGUGCGUGAUGACGGUUUUCGGGGAGUAAACCGCUUUAGCCUGUGACGAAGCGUGAGUGACGGUAAUGGGUAAAGAAGCACCGGCUAACUACGUG
rnacentral:rRNA from 1 species